rnacentral:rRNA from 1 species
UGGCGGGACGGGGUGGAGUAAUGUCUAGGAAACUAACCUGAUGGAGGGGGAUAACUACUGGAAACGGUAGCUAAUACCGCAUAACGUCGCAAGACCAAAGAGGGGGACCUUAGGGCCUCUUGCCAUCGGAUGUGCCCAGAUGGGAUUAGCUAGUAGGUGGGGUAACGGCUCACCUAGGCGACGAUCCCUAGCUGGUCUGAGAGGAUGACCAGCCACACUGGAACUGAGACACGGUCCAG